UCCCUGGUGGUCCAGCAGCUAAGACACUGCACUUUCAAUGCAGGGAGCCCUGGUUCAAUCCCUGGUCAGGGAA
rnacentral:tRNA from 1 species